AUUUACGGGGAAUACAUUUGGGAAAAUUUGUUUCUCUCUCAACCAUCCUGCCGCCUUCCCCCUCCCUUGUGCAGUCACCUUGCCGCUUUCUUCAUCCCUCUUCGCCGUCAGUAGCAGUGAUGAGCGGCAACGCCCGCCACCUCCUCGCUAACGCAGUUCAACACAGUAGGCUGGACCAAGGCUUCGGUCGUCGGGAUCUGCUUGUCGACGCACGCGAUCGCCGCUAACUUCACGUAACGGGCCCGUCAAAGCACACGGCUGUCGCCGUUCUUGGUCCGAUCGCGCGUCCCCGUGCUUGCUGCCCAUCUCGCCGAUCAAGGCGAGGAUCUAGGUUCGCGAUUUUCCCUGUUCGGCGGCUAACAACAAAGGUAGGGUUUUUGAUCUCUUUCACAAU
rnacentral:lncRNA from 1 species